rnacentral:rRNA from 1 species
CAGUCGCCGCGGGAAUACGAACCGUGCGAACGUUAUUCGGAAUCACUGGGCUUAAAGCGCGUGUAGGCGGAUGGGAGCGUCGGCCUCUGAAAUCCCCCGGCUCAACCGGGGAAGUGGAGCCGAAACGACCCGUCUGGAGGGACGUAGGGGGACCUGGAACUUCCGGUGGAGCGGUGAAAUGCGUUGAGAUCGGAAGGAACGCCCGUGGCGAAAGCGAGGUCCUGGACGUCUGCUGACGCUGAGACGCGAAAGCCAGGGGAGCGAACGGGAUUAGAUACCCCCGUAGUCCCUGUCUCUUAUA